rnacentral:misc_RNA from 1 species
UCCCUGUUACCAGGGCAGUCUGUCCAGAGAAAUCCAACUGGACAAAAGGGUUGCGCUCGUUAAUGGACUUAACCAAACAUCUCACGACACGAGCUGACGACGGCCAUGCAUCACCUGUCACUAGAUUCCCGAAGGCACGGUCUCUUUUCGGAGACCUUCCUAGGAUGUCAAACCUUGGUAAGGUUCUGCGCUUAUCAUCGAAUUAAACAACACGCUCCACCGCUUGUGCGGGUCCCCGUCAAUUCCUUUAUGUUUUAAGCUUGCGCUCGUACUCCACAGGCGGGAUGCUUAACGCGUUAGCUUCGCUACUACCAGGGUCGAUACUGAUAACAGCUAGCAUCCAUCGUUUACGGCGUGGACUA